rnacentral:rRNA from 1 species
AUUGAACGCUGGCGGAAUGCUUUACACAUGCAAGUCGAGCGGCAGCGCGGGGCAACCUGGCGGCGAGCGGCGAACGGGUGAGUAAUACAUCGGAACGUGCCCAGACGUGGGGGAUAACUACUCGAAAGAGUGGCUAAUACCGCAUACGAUCUGAGGAUGAAAGCGGGGGAUCGCAAGACCUCGCGCGUCUGGAGCGGCCGAUGGCAGAUUAGGUAGUUGGUGAGGUAAAGGCUUACCAAGCCUGCGAUCUGUAGCUGGUCUGAGAGGAUGAUCAGCCACACUGGGACGGAGACACGGCCCAGACUCCUACGGGAGGCAGCAGUGGGGAAUUUUGGACAAUGGGCGAAAGCCUGAUCCAGCCAUUCCGCGUGCAGGAUGAAGGCCCUCGGGUUGUAAACUGCUUUCGUACGGAACGAAAAAGCUCCGGCUAAUACCUGGAGUCCAUGACGGUACCGUAAGAAUAAGCACCGGCUAACUACGUGCCAGCCGCCGCCGUAA